UACGUAGGUGGCAAGCGUUGUCCGGAUUUAUUGGGCGUAAAGAGCGUGUAGGCGGCUAGAUAGGUCCGUUGUGAAAACUCGAGGCUCAACCUCGAGACGCCGAUGGAAACCAUUUGGCUAGAGUCCGGAAGAGGAGAGUGGAAUUCCUGGUGUAGCGGUGAAAUGCGCAGAUAUCAGGAAGAACACCCGUGGCUAAGGCGGCUCUCUAGUACGGUACUGACGCUGAGACGCGAAAGCGUGGGGAGCGAACAGG
rnacentral:rRNA from 1 species